rnacentral:rRNA from 1 species
CUGUGAAGUGAGGACGCUAGUUCUCAUGGAGCCGCCCUUGAAAUACCACCCUGUUGUUAUUGAGGUUCUAACUUGGUCCAGUAAUCCUGGAUGAGGACAGUGUAUGAUGGGUAGUUUGACUGGGGCGGUCUCCUCCCAAAGAGUAACGGAGGAGCACAAAGGUACCCUCGGUACGGUCGGACAUCGUACCAAGAGUGUAAAGGCAAAAGGGUGCUUGACUGCGAGAGUGACGGCUCGAGCAGGAACGAAAGUUGGUCUUAGUGAUCCGGUGGUUCUGAAUGGAAGGGCCAUCGCUCAACGGAUAAAAGGUACUCCGGGGAUAACAGGCUGAUACCGCCCAAGAGUUCAUAUCGACGGCGGUGUUUGGCACCUCGAUGUCGGCUCAUCACAUCCUGGGGCUGAAGCAGGUCCCAAGGGUAUGGCUGUUCGCCAUUUAAAGUGGUACGCGAGCUGGGUUUAGAACGUCGUGAGACAGUUCGGUCCCUAUCUGCCGUGGGCGUAGGAAAAUUGAGAGGAGCUGCUCCUAGUACGAGAGGACCGGAGUGGACGAACCUCUGGUGCACCGGUUGUCACGCCAGUGGCAUGGCCGGGUAGCUAAGUUCGGACGGGAUAACCGCUGAAAGCAUCUAAGCGGGAAGCCUCCCUCAAGAUGAGUUUUCCCAUGAAGCCCGUUGAAGACUACGACGUUGAUAGGCAAGGUGUGGAAGCGCAGUAAUGCGUGAAGCUAACUUGUACUAAUUGGCUGAUUGUCUUGACCAUAUAAUCUGAG